rnacentral:rRNA from 1 species
GAUGAACGCUGGCGGCGUGCCUAAUACAUGCAAGUCGAGCGAAGCGGGGACGGGGGAGUAACACGUGGAUAACCUCCUAUAAGACUGGGAUAACUUCGGGAAACAGGAGCUAAACCGGAUACUUAGAGAUGGAUCCGCGCUGCAUUAGCUAGUUGGGAAGGUAACGGCGUACCAAGGCAACGAUGCAGAGCCGACCUGAAAGGGGGCGCGGCCACCUGGGAACUGAGAACCGGUCCAGACUCCUACGGGAGGCAGCAGUAGGGAAUCUUCCGUAAUGGGCGAAAGCCUGACGGAGCAACGCCGCGUGAGUGAUGAAGGUCUUCGGAUCGUAAAACUCUGUUAUUAGGGAAGCGGUACCUAAUCAGAAAGCCACGGCUAACUACGUGCCAGCAGCGGCGGUAAUUC